GAUGAACGCUAGCGAUAGGCCUAACACAUGCAAGUCGAGGGGCAUCACAUGAAGUAGCAAUACGGAUGGUGGCGACCGGCGCACGGGUGAGUAACACGUAUGCAACCUGCCUUCAACAAGGGGAUAACCCGUUGAAAGACGGACUAAUACCCUAUAACACAGGGGUCCCGCAUGGGAAUAUUUGUUAAAGGACAACCGGUUGAAGAUGGGCAUGCGUUCCAUUAGCUAGUUGGCGGGGUAACGGCCCACCAAGGCAACGAUGGAUAGGGGAACUGAGAGGUUUAUCCCCCACACUGGUACUGAGACACGGACCAGACUCCUACGGGAGGCAGCAGUGAGGAAUAUUGGUCAAUGGACGCAAGUCUGAACCAGCCACGUCGCGUGAAGGAAGACGGCCCUACGGGUUGUAAACUUCUUUUAACGGGAAUAAAGUGCCCCACGCGUGGGGUUUUGCAUGUACCGUAUGAAUAAGGAUCGGCUAACUCCGUGCCAGCAGCCGCGGUAAGUACUGA
rnacentral:rRNA from 1 species